rnacentral:tRNA from 1 species
AUGGUUUUAAGUUAAAAAAACUAAUAGCCUUCAAAGCUAUAAAUAAAAUAUAUUUUAAACCUUA